AACGAACGUUAGCGGCGCGCUUAACACAUGCAAGUCGCACGAGAAAGGGCUUCGGCCCCGGUACAGUGGCGCACGGGUGAGUAACACGUGGGUAAUCUUCCCUCGGGCGGGGGAUAACAUUCCGAAAGGAGUGCUAAUACCGCAUAAGACCACGGCUUCGAAAGGAGCUGAGGUCAAAGCCGGCCUCUAUUCAUAAGCUGGCACCUGAGGAUGAGCCCGCGGCCCAUCAGCUAGUUGGUAGGGUAAUGGCCUACCACGGCAAAGACGGGUAGCUGGUCUGAGAGGAUGAUCAGCCACACUGGAACUGAGACACGGUCCAGACUCCUACGGGAGGCAGCAGUGGGGAAUCUUGCGCAAUGGGCGAAAGCCUGACGCAGCGACGCCGCGUGAGUGAUGAAGGCCUUCGGGUUGUAAAGCUCUGUGGGGAGAGACGAAUAAGUCGGAGCUAGUACCUCCGGCGAUGACGGUAUCUCCUUAGCAAGCACCGGCUAACUCUGUGCCAGCCGCCGCCGUAAGAC
rnacentral:rRNA from 1 species